UCAGGAUGAACGCUGGCGGCGUGCCUAAUACAUGCAAGUCGAGCGAACGGACGAGAAGCUUGCUUCUCUGAUGUUAGCGGCGGACGGGUGAGUAACACGUGGAUAACCUACCUAUAAGACUGGGAUAACUUCGGGAAACCGGAGCUAAUACCGGAUAAUAUUUUGAACCGCAUGGUUCAAAAGUGAAAGACGGUCUUGCUGUCACUUAUAGAUGGAUCCGCGCUGCAUUAGCUAGUUGGUAAGGUAACGGCUUACCAAGGCAACGAUGCAUAGCCGACCUGAGAGGGUGAUCGGCCACACUGGAACUGAGACACGGUCCAGACUCCUACGGGAGGCAGCAGUAGGGAAUCUUCCGCAAUGGGCGAAAGCCUGACGGAGCAACGCCGCGUGAGUGAUGAAGGUCUUCGGAUCGUAAAACUCUGUUAUUAGGGAAGAACAUAUGUGUAAGUAACUGUGCACAUCUUGACGGUACCUAAUCAGAAAGCCACGGCUAACUACGUGCCAGCAGCCGCGGUAAUACGUAGGUGGCAAGCGUUAUCCGGAAUUAUUGGGCGUAAAGCGCGCGUAGGCGGUUUUUUAAGUCUGAUGUGAAAGCCCACGGCUCAACCGUGGAGGGUCAUUGGAAACUGGAAAACUUGAGUGCAGAAGAGGAAAGUGGAAUUCCAUGUGUAGCGGUGAAAUGCGCAGAGAUAUGGAGGAACACCAGUGGCGAAGGCGACUUUCUGGUCUGUAACUGACGCUGAUGUGCGAAAGCGUGGGGAUCAAACAGGAUUAGAUACCCUGGUAGUCCACGCCGUAAACGAUGAGUGCUAAGUGUUAGGGGGUUUCCGCCCCUUAGUGCUGCAGCUAACGCAUUAAGCACUCCGCCUGGGGAGUACGACCGCAAGGUUGAAACUCAAAGGAAUUGACGGGGACCCGCACAAGCGGUGGAGCAUGUGGUUUAAUUCGAAGCAACGCGAAGAACCUUACCAAAUCUUGACAUCCUUUGACAACUCUAGAGAUAGAGCCUUCCCCUUCGGGGGACAAAGUGACAGGUGGUGCAUGGUUGUCGUCAGCUCGUGUCGUGAGAUGUUGGGUUAAGUCCCGCAACGAGCGCAACCCUUAAGCUUAGUUGCCAUCAUUAAGUUGGGCACUCUAAGUUGACUGCCGGUGACAAACCGGAGGAAGGUGGGGAUGACGUCAAAUCAUCAUGCCCCUUAUGAUUUGGGCUACACACGUGCUACAAUGGACAAUACAAAGGGCAGCGAAACCGCGAGGUCAAGCAAAUCCCAUAAAGUUGUUCUCAGUUCGGAUUGUAGUCUGCAACUCGACUACAUGAAGCUGGAAUCGCUAGUAAUCGUAGAUCAGCAUGCUACGGUGAAUACGUUCCCGGGUCUUGUACACACCGCCCGUCACACCACGAGAGUUUGUAACACCCGAAGCCGGUGGAGUAACCUUUUAGGAGCUAGCCGUCGAAGGUGGGACAAAUGAUUGGGGUGAGUCCAAAGG
rnacentral:rRNA from 1 species